CCUACGGGUGGCUGCAGUGGGGAAUAUUGGACAAUGGGGGGAACCCUGAUCCAGCGACGCCGCGUGAGUGAAGAAGUAUUUCGGUAUGUAAAGCUCUAUCAGCAGGGAAGAUAAUGACGGUACCUGACCAAGACGCCCCGGCUAACUACGUGCCAGCAGCCGCGGUAAUACGUAGGGGGCAAGCGUUAUCCGGAUUUACUGGGUGUAACGGGAGCGUAGACGGUGCAGCAAGUCUGGUGUGAAAGGUCGGGGCCCAACCCCGGAACUGCAUUGGAAACUGUUGAGCUGGAGUGCAGGAGAGGUAAGCGGAAUUCCUAGUGUAGCGGUGAAAUGCGUAGAUAUUAGGAGGAACACCGGUGGCGAAGGCGGCUUACUGGACUGUAACUGACGUUGAGGCUCGAAAGCGUGGGGAGCAAACAGGAUUAGAUACCCCAGUAGUC
rnacentral:rRNA from 1 species